rnacentral:rRNA from 1 species
AGAGUUUGAUCCUGGCUCAGGAUGAACGCUAGCGGCAGGCUUAACACAUGCAAGUCGAGGGGUAGUCUAGCAAUAGAUGAGACCGGCGCACGGGUGCGUAACGCGUAUGCAAUCUACCUUUUACAGAGGGAUAGCCCAGAGAAAUUUGGAUUAAUACCUCAUAGCAUCUUCGACCGGCAUCGGUUGAUUAUUAAAGUUCCAACGGUAAAAGAUGAGCAUGCGUCCUAUUAGCUAGAUGGUAAGGUAACGGCUUACCAUGGCUACGAUAGGUAGGGGUCCUGAGAGGGAGAUCCCCCACACUGGUACUGAGACACGGACCAGACUCCUACGGGAGGCAGCAGUGAGGAAUAUUGGACAAUGGGCGCAAGCCUGAUCCAGCCAUGCCGCGUGCAGGAAGAAGCAUCUAUGGUGUGUAAACUGCUUUUGUACGGGAAGAAACACUCCUACGUGUAGGAGCUUGACGGUACCGUAAGAAUAAGGAUCGGCUAACUCCGUGCCAGCAGCCGCGGUAAUACGGAGGAUCUAAGCGUUAUCCGGAAUCAUUGGGUUUAAAGGGUCUGUAGGCGGUUUGGUAAGUCAGUGGUGAAAGCCCUUCGCUCAACGGAGGAACGGCCAUUGAUACUGCUAGACUUGAAUUACUGGGAAGUAACUAGAAUAUGUAGUGUAGCGGUGAAAUGCUUAGAUAUUACAUGGAAUAUCAAUUGCGAAGGCAGGUUACUACCAGUGGAUUGACGCUGAUGGACGAAAGCGUGGGGGAGCGAACAGGAUUAGAUACUCUGGUAGUCCACGCCGUAAACGAUGGAUACUAGCUGUUCGGGGCAACCUGAGUGGCUAAGCGAAAGUGAUAAGUAUUCCACCUGGGGAGUACGUUCGCAAGAAUGAAACUCUAGGAAUUG